GAAAUGCGAUAAGUAAUGUGAAUUGCAGAAUUCAGUGAAUCAUCGAAUCAUUGAACGCACCUUGCGCUCCUUGGUAUUCCUUGGAGCAUGCCUGUUUGAGUAUCAUGAAAUCUUCAAAGUAAAUCUUUUGUUAACUCAAUUGGUUUCUACUUUGGUAUUGGAGGUCUUUGCAGCUUCACACCUGCUCCUCUUUGUUCAUUAGCUGGAUCUCAGUGUUAUGCUUGGUUCCACUCGGCGUGAUAAGUUAUCUAUCGCUGAGGACACUGUAAAAGGUGGCCAAGGUAAAUGCAGAUGAACCGCUUCUAAUAGUCCAUUGACUUGGACAAUACUUUUAUGAUCUGAUCUCAAAUCAGGUAGGACUACCCGCUGAACUUAAGC
rnacentral:misc_RNA from 1 species